UACGUAGGGGGCAAGCGUUGUCCGGAGUUACUGGGCGUAAAGCGCACGCAGGCGGUCUCUUAAGUUUGGAGUGGCAGUUGGUGGCUUAACUGCCAAAGUGCUUCGAAAACUGAGAGACUUGAGGGCUUCAGAGGGACACGGAAUUCCGGGUGGAGUGGUGAAAUGCGUAGAGAUCCGGAGGAACACCAAAGGCGAAGGCAGUGUCCUGGGGAGUACCUGACGCUCAGGU
rnacentral:rRNA from 1 species